rnacentral:rRNA from 1 species
AAUCAAGCGCGAGAAGGGCGUUUGGUGGAUGCCUUGGCAGCAAGAGGCGAUGAAGGACGUGAUACUCUGCGAUAAGUCAUGGGGAGCCGAGAAUAGGCUUUGAUCCAUGAAUCUCCGAAUGGGGCAACCCACCUGAAAGUUCGUUAUAAUUACUUCGGUAGCUUAUAACGUGCUUAACCAGGUACUUCUUACCUGAAUACAUAGGGUUUGAAGAGCAAACCCGGGGAACUGAAACAUCUAAGUACCCGGAGGAAAGGAAAUCAAUGAUACUCCCCUAGUAGUGGCGAGCGAACGGGGAUCAGCCGAGCCUUGAGAGUGAUCAGAACAUGCUGGAAAGCAUGGCCGUAGCGGGUGACAGCCCCGUACGAGAAGCUCGAUAGGACGUAUUAAGUAGGGCGGGACACGUGAAAUCCUGUCUGAAGAUCGGAGGACCACCUUCGAAGGCUAAGUACUCCUUGCUGACCGAUAGCGAACCAGUACCGUGAGGGAAAGGUGAAAAGCACCCCGACGAGGGGAGUGAAACAGUACCUGAAACCGAACGCCUACAAUCAGUCGGAGCUU